rnacentral:rRNA from 1 species
GACGAACCGUGCGAACGUUAUUCGGAAUCACUGGGCUUAAAGCGCGUGUAGGCGGGAGGGCACGUCCGUCGCUGAAAUCCCCCGGCUCAACCGGGGAACGGGCGCGGAUACGACCUUCCUGGAGGGGCGUAGGGGGACCUGGAACUUCCGGUGGAGCGGUGAAAUGCGUUGAGAUCGGAAGGAACGCCCGUGGCGAAAGCGGCUCUCUAGUACGGUACUGACGCUGAGACGCGAAAGCGUGGGGAGCGAACAGG